rnacentral:rRNA from 1 species
CUGGGCUCGAACGGCUGGUCAACGCCGGUGGAAACAUCGGUACCCCGCAAGGGGGUCCAGUCGAGGUGCUGCAUGGCUGUCGUCAGCUCGUGUCGUGAGAUGUUGGGUUAAGUCCUGCAACGAGCGCAACCCUUGUCCUGGGUUGCCAUGCCGAAAGGCGGAACUCGCAGGAGACUGCCAGCGAUAAGCUGGAGGAAGGUGGGGAUGACGUCAAGUCCUCAUGGCCUUUAUGUCCAGGGCUACACACGUGCUACAAUGGACGGUACAAAGCGCAGCAAACCCGCGAGGGGGAGCCAAUCGCAAAAAACCGUUCUCAGCUCGGAUUGCAGGCUGCAACUCGCCUGCAUGAAGCUGGAAUCGCUAGUAAUGGCAGAUCAGCACGCUGCCGUGAAUACGUUCCC